rnacentral:rRNA from 1 species
AGUGAACGCUGGCGGUAGGCUUUACACAUGCAAGUCGAACGGCAGCACAGUCAGCGCCUGGUCUUACAGGUGCCGAGUGGUGAGGAGGUGAUGAGAACAUCCGCAUCUAUUUUUUCGUGGGGGACAAAGGAGGGAUUAAUACGCCAAACCCGCUUAAGACCUACGGGUGGAAGCGGGAGACCUUCGGCCCUUGGGCCGUUGAAUGACGCGAUGUCGGAUUGGCUGGUUGGCGGGGUAAAGGCCCACCAAGGCGACGAUCCGUAGCUGGUCUGAGAGGAUGACCAGCCACACUGGGACUGAGACACGGCCCAGACUCCUACGGGAGGCAGCAGUGGGGAAUAUUGGACAAUGGGGGCAAGCCUGAUCCAGCCAUACCGCGUGGGUGAAGAAGGCCUUCGGGUUGUAAAGCCCUUUUGUUGGGGAAGAAAAGCAGUGGGUUAAUACCCCGCGGGUAUGACGGUACCGGAAGAAUAAGCACCGGCUAACUUCGUG